GGAAGAAAGUGGGAAUAAGAUUAAAGAAUUUAAAAGAUGGAUAUUUUCAUCUGAUACAGGCCCUUACAAGAGGUAUGGUAUGGAGAAAGAUCUUCAAGACAAAGGUAUUGAAUUUUAUUUAUAGGUAUGAGAAGAAAAGAAGUUUUUGUAUUUUUUAGAUGUGAAACUAAAGAAGAGAAUAGAGAUUAAAAGAUGGACGG
rnacentral:lncRNA from 1 species